rnacentral:lncRNA from 1 species
UGCCACGUCACCGGAUCAGAUGAAACCGCCUUAUUUCGCCAGGCGAGAAUAUUUCUCGCCAUGGCGAAUUGCUCUUGCCCUGUUUUUCUAGCUCCCUGGAACUUCUCGCCAUUCAUCUCGCCAUUACUUCGCCAGGCGAAAUAAUUCGCCCUGGCCAUCCUUGUGGCAAAGGACCAUGGAGCUCCCUGGAGUUGCUCGCCAUUUGGCUCGCCAUUGGGUCGCCAGGCGAAAUGCCUUUUUCACUUUUUUGUUGUUUUUGACUCUUGCUUGAUGUUUUGGCACUUGAUUCCUGCACAAAUGGGUAGAGUAAGAUGACUAAAGCGUAAUAGGUCAAAAUUCCAUUUUCUCUCGGCUUUUCCCUAGAUAACUUGUAAAACAAGUAACAAACGUGCCGUAAAUAAACCUUUAAAACACUACUUCCCGACACUUAUCAC